rnacentral:rRNA from 1 species
GACGAACGCUGGCGGCGUGCUUAACACAUGCAAGUCGAACGGAAAGGCCCUGCUUUUGUGGGGUGCUCGAGUGGCGAACGGGUGUGUAACACGUGAGUAACCUGCCCUUGACUUUGGGAUAACUUCAGGAAACUGGGGAUAAUACCGGAUAGGAGCUCCUGCUGCGUGGUGGGGGUUGGAAAGUUUCGGCGGUUGGGGAUGGACUCGCGGCUUAUCAGCUUGUUGGUGGGGUAGUGGCUUACCAAGGCUUUGACGGGUAGCCGGCCUGAGAGGGUGACCGGCCACAUUGGGACUGAGAUACGGCCCAGACUCCUACGGGAGGCAGCAGUGGGGAAUAUUGCACAAUGGGCGGAAGCCUGAUGCAGCAACGCCGCGUGCGGGAUGACGGCCUUCGGGUUGUAAACCGCUUUCGCCUGGGACGAAGCGUGAGUGACGGUAAUGGGUAAAGAAGCACCGGCUAACUACGUG